UACGUAGGGUGCAAGCGUUGUCCGGAAUUAUUGGGCGUAAAGAGCUCGUAGGCGGUUUGUCGCGUCUGCUGUGAAAACUCGGGGCUUAACCCCGGGCCUGCAGUGGGUACGGGCAGACUAGAGUGCGGUAGGGGAGACUGGAAUUCCUGGUGUAGCGGUGAAAUGCGCAGAUAUCAGGAGGAACACCGGUGGCGAAGGCGGCUUCCUGGCCUGUUCUUGACGCUGAGGCGCGAAAGCUAGGGUAGCAAACGGG
rnacentral:rRNA from 1 species